rnacentral:ncRNA from 1 species
AAAGUCCCUGUCGGGAAAGGCCUAACCAGCCACCCGUAUCGAGUGUUGCGUCUAUGGCGGAGUAGGUGGAAUUCCUACGAACAAUAUAGGCGAAGCGUGCACAGAGAAUCGUGCAGGCCGUAGGGAAGUCCGUGCUUCCUGAAAGUUGAUAUAGCUUCGAAACGAGCAGUUCCAGUUGCUGAGAGUUUUAACACGCAUCGAAAGCAAAACAAGAUCAUCCGUAUUAGUAAUGGUGUGAAGGACUGGCGAAGUUAAAG